rnacentral:rRNA from 1 species
CCUACGGGAGGCAGCAGUGAGGAAUAUUGGUCAAUGGACGAGAGUCUGAACCAGCCAAGUAGCGUGAAGGAUGACUGCCCUAUGGGUUGUAAACUUCUUUUAUAUGGGAAUAAAACGUUGCACGUGUGCCAUUUUGUAUGUACUAUAUGAAUAAGGAUCGGCUAACUCCGUGCCAGCAGCCGCGGUAAUACGGAGGAUCCGAGCGUUAUCCGGAUUUAUUGGGUUUAAAGGGAGCGUAGGUGGAUUGUUAAGUCAGUUGUGAAAGUUUGCGGCUCAACCGUAAAAUUGCAGUUGAAACUGGCAGUCUUGAGUACAGUAGAGGUGGGCGGAAUUCGUGGUGUAGCGGUGAAAUGCUUAGAUAUCACGAAGAACUCCGAUUGCGAAGGCAGUCCACUGAACUGCAACUGACACUGAGGCUCGAAAGUGUGGGUAUCAAACAGGAUUAGAUACCCUGGUAGUC